rnacentral:rRNA from 1 species
UACGUAGGCAGCGAGCGUUGUUCGGAAUUACUGGGCGUAAAGCGCGUGUAGGUGGUGGGACAAGUCUGCUGUGAAAGCGCCUGGCUUAACCGGGCGAGGUCGGCGGAAACUGUUCGACUCGAGGACGGUAGAGGGGGGUGGAAUUCCCGGUGUAGUGGUGAAAUGCGUAGAGAUCGGGAGGAACACCGGUGGCGAAGGCGGCCUGCUGGGGUCGAGGCUCUUCGGAGCCUGAGCUGACGCUGAGGCGCGACAGCGUGGGGAGCAAACAGG